GAUGAACGCUGGCGGCGUGCUUAACACAUGCAAGUCGAACGAUGAAGCCGGAGCUUGCUCUGGUGAAUUAGUGGCGAACGGGUGAGUAACACGUGAGUAACCUGCCCUUGACUCUGGGAUAACUGCUAGAAAUGGUAGCUAAUACCGGAUACGACCCUCGGAGGCAUCUCCAGGGGGUGGAAAGAAUUUCGGUCACGGAUGGACUCGCGGCCUAUCAGCUAGUUGGUGAGAUAACGGCUCACCAAGGCGACGACGGGUAGCCGGCCUGAGAGGGUGACCGGCCACACUGGGACUGAGACACGGCCCAGACUCCUACGGGAGGCAGCAGUGGGGAAUAUUGCACAAUGGGCGCAAGCCUGAUGCAGCAACGCCGCGUGAGGGAUGACGGCCUUCGGGUUGUAAACCUCUUUUAGUUGGGAAGAAGCGAAAGUGACGGUACCUGCAGAAAAAGCACCGGCUAACUACGUGCCAGCCGCCGCAGUAA
rnacentral:rRNA from 1 species